UACGGAGGGAGCUAGCGUUGUUCGGAAUCACUGGGCGUAAAGCGCACGUAGGCGGAUUUGUCAGUCGGGGGUGAAAUCCCGAGGCUCAACCUCGGAACUGCCUCCGAUACAGCAAAGCUCGAGUCCGGGAGAGGUGGGUGGAAUUCCUAGUGUAGAGGUGAAAUUCGUAGAUAUUAGGAAGAACACCAGUGGCGAAGGCGGCCCACUGGCCCGGUACUGACGCUGAGGUGAGAAAGCGUGGGGAGCAAACAGG
rnacentral:rRNA from 1 species